rnacentral:misc_RNA from 1 species
CCUAGAGUUGUAGGCUUUGCCUGCUAUCUCUUACCCAUGUCUUUUGAGUACCUUCGUUUCCUCGGCGGGUCCGCCCGCCGAUUGGACAAUUUAAACCCUUUGCAGUUGAAAUCAGCGUCUGAAAAAACUUAAUAGUUA